UACAGAUGGUUGUAAGCCACCAUGUGGCUGGGAAUUGAACUCAGGACCUCUGGAAGUGCUCUUAACUGCUGAGC
rnacentral:miRNA from 14 species